UACGGAGGGUGCAAGCGUUAUCCGGAUUCACUGGGUUUAAAGGGUGCGUAGGAGGGCAGGGAAGUCAGUGGUGAAAUCUCCGGGCUUAACUCGGAAACUGCCGUUGAUACUCUCUGUCUUGAAUCCCGUGGAGGUGAGCGGAAUAUGUCAUGUAGCGGUGAAAUGCUUAGAUAUGACAUAGAACACCAAUUGCGAAGGCAGCUCGCUACACGAAGAUUGACUCUGAGGCACGAAAGCGUGAGGAUCAAACAGG
rnacentral:rRNA from 1 species